UCGAACGCUCGCGGGCCGGAAAGACCGGGCAACCUUCGUGACUGACGCCGCCCGCGCCAUAUUGACUGAGGGCAGUUGUCCGCUAUUUCCGUUCCUCCUCUGCGAGGGGCGGCUAUCAUCUGAGACGCUGAGGUUUAACUCUUGCCCAGCUGUUCCCAGAGAAGCUCUGAUUUGAAUAAAAGCAAGCACGUGUGAAUGGACUGAAAAAGGCAGCACGUCAUGCCCUGCACAGAAGGUUUCUCACAACUAUGAAGAGCUAACACAAGGCCCAAAUGAGUUCACUAGUGAGUUCUACCAAAUAUUUAAGGAAAAAAUACCAGUUCCCUGCAGGUUAUUACAGAAGAGAAAAGCAGAUGAAAUGUGUUCUAACCAAUUUCAAAAUGCUAGCAUCAUGCUAGGAAAACUAUAGACCAUUAUUUCUAAUGAACAUUCAUGCAAAAAUCAACAGAAUAUUAGUAAUCAUGUCCAACAAGCUUUUAAAAAAUGACCAUUAGCAGAUGAGGUUGAUUUCAGGUACACAAAGGUGACUCAACAUUACAAAAACACCAAAUAUCAACAGGUAAAGAAAGAGAAAUCAUAUGACAGUAUCAGUAAUAAAGAACUCGUUCAUGAAGAAAACUUUUGUCAAACUAGGAGCAGGGAACUUGAACAUCUACACACACACACACACACACACACACACACACACACACACACACAAAUCCACAGGACUAGGUGUGGAGGCAAGAGUUCCAGGACUACAAAGAGUUUCAAGCCAGCUAGGGCUGCAUAGUAAAACCCUGUCUAUUAAAUAAAAAAAGUUUAUUUUUUUAAAUCCACAGUAACAAACUAGGUAGUUUUCCAUAAAAUUAAGAACAAAACAAAGAGGCCAGCCUGGUCUACAGCACAAGAUCCAGGACAGGCACCAAAACUACACAGAAAAACCCUGUCUCAAAAAAAGGGGGGAAAAAAAAAGCCUCGAUUCUGUUUUCACAAGAUGAUGCCUUUUAGCACUUAUACAGUACCUGGCUAGUAAGUUUCAGGUGUGAUAAUACAGUGUGAUCAGGUUCUGGGUGUGUAGUUUUUGGCUAGUAGCGCAUGACUGAUCUGAGUGACAUGGUUUUCUAUAAAGUUUAAAAUGAUAAAUGGCCGGGCGGUGGCGCAUGCCUUUAGUCCCAGCACUCCGAAGGCAGAAGCAGGCGGAUCUCUUUGAGUUCGAGGCCAAUCUGGGCUACAGCGUGAGAGUUUCAGGAAAGGUGCAAAGCUACACAGAAAAACCCUGUCUCAAAAAAAUGAAAGAAAGUCGGGCGGUGGUGGCGCACGCCUUUAAUCCCAGCACUCGGGAGGCAGAGCCAGG